GGAGGCGUGGCCGAGCGGCCGAAGGCGCCAGUCUUGAAAACUGGUGGCACGCGAGUGCCCGUGGGUUCGAAUCCCACCGCCUCCG
rnacentral:tRNA from 2 species